rnacentral:rRNA from 1 species
GACGAACGCUGGCGGCGUGCUUAACACAUGCAAGUCGAACGGUGAAGCGCCUUCCUUGUUGGUGGGUGUGGAUGAGUGGCGAACGGGUGAGUAACACGUGAGUAACCUGCCCCCUUCUUCUGGAUAACCGCAUGAAAGUGUGGCUAAUACGGGAUAUUCUGGUGCUGGCGCAGGAUGGGUCUGGUAAGGAUGUUGGUUCGGUGGGGGAGGGGCUCGGGGCCUAUCAGCGUGUGGGUGGGGUGAUGGCCUACCAAGGCGGGGACGGGUGGACGGCCUGAGCGGGUGGCCGGCCUGAGUGGGAGUCCGGCAACACCGGGACUGCUACAGGGGGCAGAAGUGGGGAGUAGGGAGCAGUGGGGGCAAGCGUGAUGCGGGGGCGAGGCGUGAGGGAUGGCGGCCUUCGGGUUGUGACCCUCUUUCGCUAGUGAACCACGCCUGCCUCGUUUGUGGGUGGGUUGACGGUAGCUGGAUAAGAAGCGCCGGCUAACUACGUG